AUGUGCUAGAAGGGUAUAACGGUAAUUAUAUAUUAAAAAUUACUAUUUCCGUUAAAAGUUGUUGUUUCCAUCAGUAAAUGAGGGUGUAAAUAUCUUUUUCGAAAUGUUAUGAGGGUUUUUGUCCUUUUAUCUAAACGUUGGAGGUGUGUUUGUCCUUUUCCCAAAAAAUUAACUUGAGAAAAAGAAGAUUUAACAUUUUUUUUCAGGUCAAGGCAGCUGCUUCUCGAAAAAAUAUUGUCACUGAUUUCUUAGGCUUCUACGAAGGCUCUUUUCCUUUUGUUUAUCCUGGAGUUCCAAUUUUCAGGGGUUGUAUUUUGUCCGUUGUCGGGUGAGUGGAGCUAGUUAAUACUAGCUCAGCGGUCUGUCACCCUAUGAUUGAUUUAACAUUUCUCCUGUGAGUUAGUAUUUUUUUUCACUCAAAUAUCUUCUGUGAGUUAGUAUUUUUUUUUCCCAUUGAAAAAACUUCAUCGUUUUGCCUUUGUUUUUCUCAGCGGUCUGUCACCCUAUGAUUGAUUUAACAUUUCUCCUGCCAAUUAAAAGAGUAAACAAACGUUAACUAAAAAAAUGUCGAGUGCAAAAAGUCAACAGAUAGAUGCACAAAAACUCUAUUCUCCUCCACAUAAAAAUGUAGCAUUUAGAUAAUAAAGUUACUGUAUUGAAGUCAUUGUUCAACGCAAUUGUGUACAGCUGUUCUGGUUGAUUUAGGCUUUUAAUGAGACUAUAUUGACUCAUAUUUCUAACAAAUGGACCAUGAUUUCAAUGUUAAAAUACUUAACCUUUCAAGGGUAUGGGAAGAGAUGUAACUUUGAACUCGAGGCCUCAGUGGACUUGAGACUGAGUGUGUAAAUACAUUUUGUAUAAACUAAACAAUUGUAACACUUUGAAGUUGUCGGAUGGGAACUGCAUAAUAAGAUUGUUCCAUUGGAACCAUUGUGAUACUCGUGUAAAUCAAUUCAAGGUUCGUGGAAGAAUAACGACAAAUGUUAAACUAAGGUAAAGAAUCUCCAUAUACAUAAAUAAUAGUUAAUUAAUUAAAAAAAGGUAAAGAAUCUCCAUAUACAUACAUAAUAGUUAAUUAAUUAAUAAAUCACUUAGAGUGCAUUUAGUACAUUAUAUUGUAUUAUGUUGUAUUUCAUUAUUUUAAUACUAGUGUAUUGUAUUAUGUUGUAUUGUAUUAGUACCGUAUUAUAAUAAUGUUGUACAAUGUUUGGUGCCAUAUUGUACUGUAUUUAUUUUUUUGUGAUUAAUUUAAAUUAAAUAUUACAUUAUACUAAUACUUUAUAUUAUAUUAAUAUAUUUAAAUUAUUUUAAUAUUUUAUAUUAUUAUUAAUUUUAAAUUAAUAUUAUUCAUAUUUAUUCAUAUUUAAAUAUUUAUUAUUAGUUAUAAUAAAUUAUAUAUUUAUUAAUUUAUAUUAAUAAUUAUAAUGUAAAAAUAAAAAUAAAAAUUAUAUAAUAUUGUAUUAAAUUAAAAAGUUGUUGUUGUUGUUGUUGUUGUUAUUAUUAUUUUAUUAUUUUUAUUAUCAUUAUUAUAAAGCAAAAGCAAAAGUUAAAAAAAAAAGUCAAAAGUAAAAGCAAAAACAAGAGAAACAAAAAAAGUAAGCUAAUGCACAGCCCUUUAACCCAUUCUCAUGUUUUUCCAAACAUAGCCUUAUCAUUAAUUUAAUGUGAACAGGAUUUUAAUAUCCCAUAAUGCAAUGCACCAACCAUACUCUUAGAUAUUUUUCUGUCAAAUAAAACAUAUAAAUGUCGAUAAUUAGUACAUGAAUGACACAUUCCAUGUAGUAUCAUUUUAAGAAGUGAUUUAAUAAGUAACAAGAAGGCUAAGAGGCAACAUUGAAUCACUUUUCUUUUGUAGAAUUAAUGAAGUACUCAUAGAGUAUUCCCCUAUUAUUUUAUUGUUUGCAGUCACUUAAGAGUCACUUGAUUCUUUACCCAACAAACAAAAAGAGCAGAACUGUAUAUGGAAUCCGAUGGAAAUGUGAUAAGGAAGGCUGCAGUAUUUAAAGAUUGAGGAUAUGGCUAUGCAGACUCUUUCAAUAUUAAGGAUAAAAAAAAGAAGAAAUCAUGGUAAACCUUAAUAAUUAAUUGGUAUAUAUUUUUGUGUCUGAGUUCUAAAAAUAUNNNNNNNNNNNNNNNNNNNNNNNNNNNNNNNNNNNNNNNNNNNNNNNNNNNNNNNNNNNNNNNNNNNNNNNNNNNNNNNNNNNNNNNNNNNNNNNNNNNNACAAUUGAGAAAUUGAAUAGUUUGACAAAGAGAAUGACUAAUCUCGAUUUAUUUAUUUAUUUAACUAAAAGAGCAUGAGGAAGAAAUCAAGGUUAAAAAUGUUGAUCCUUGGCUUGUCAAAAGAGUAAGAAUUAAUGUCGAUACUAACCUUGUUAAAAAAGCAAGAAUUUAAGAAGUGUGAAAAAUACUACACUUUUCAAGUCAUAUAUACAUACAUGUCAGGUUUAGAAGAAGAUCUAUGAGUACCUCCGAGAUACUGGGUACCCUUAUCUAAUAGAUCAACUUCGCCAACAUGAAUCCUGUUUCCAUCGAGACUGAGGAAGCUCCGUUAUUGGACAGCAAUGGUGAAAUUAAGCAGCAAAUGGACCCAAAUUUUUUAAAAGCUGCAGCUGCGGGCAAUUCGGAACCGUUCAAAGACAUGCCAAGAGAGGUAAUUGGGAUCUUGUUUACAGCAAAGACCAAAAACACAAUCCUACAUAUCAACAUCAUAUCCCAAGAAAGAGAAAACGCGUCAACGAAGUUCGCAGAAGAAAUACUUGAGAAAUGCCCAUCGCUGCUACUGCAAGUUAAUGCCAAAGGCGAUACUCCACUUCACGUUGCGGCAAAAUUCGGCCAUUCUGAUAUAGUGAGGGUUCUUGUCGAAAGAGCAAAAUUACUUCAACAUGAUAAUGAAGAGCUAGAGAGCGGGAUAAGAACUGUCAGGCAUAUGAUUAGGAUGACAAAUCAUGAGAAGAAUACAGCACUUCACGAGGCAGUGUGUCACCGGAACGUCGAUGUGGUGAAAAUACUGACAAAAGAAGACCCUGAUUAUCCAUAUUCUGCAAAUAAUGACGGCAAAACGCCACUCUACAUGGCUGCUGAUUAUGGAUCUUCUGAUAUGGUGCUUGCCUUAUUGGAAAACAGCACAUCAGCGUCUCAUGAAGGCCCCAACGGAAAGACGGCUUUGCAUGCUGCAGCAAUGAAAUCUUAUUUCGGUAAGUUUAGUUAUACCCUUUCAGUGGGAAUUUCAAUACUGAUAUCUUUCUAUUAAUAGAUUCUUUCAUAAUGUUUAAGUAAAUACACCCUUUUAAUUCAUUAAUAAAUUAUUAAUUGCCAUAAAUUUAAUCAGAAUAAAUUGUCGGAUAUAAAUUAGUAUUUUAAAAUACUAUAAUAUCCCACAUUAAGGAGAAGUAAGAGCAGUUGAAUUUGGUUUGAAUUAAUUAUUUGGUUGAAUUGCUUACAAAUUAGAAUUGAAUAAUUCAAUUCUAUUUAUGAUUGAAUCAAAUUGUGAGACUCAUGAUGACUAAUUUAAAUUAAAUAAAAAACGUAGAUGAUGAGUCCAUAUUUGAGUUAGGAAAAAGUUAUACAGUUUUGAUACAUGUGAAGCUUUUAAGGUGGGUUAGAUAGUUCAAUUGUUUUUAAUAAUGUUCUUUACCGUUAUCUCAUCUUUCUUCACCAAUUUAUUUUCUUUUACUAUUUUGAAUUGUUGCCCUUGAGUGCAUGUAACCACCUGCCCCGAAUUCCAAAGGUGAAUCUAACUACGGCUGACAUAUAAACUUAGGUAUCUCUUUACAAUCGAUAAAAACUCAAUUCUCAAAGAGAAUUAUUAAACUGCAUCGGAAGAAAUUUAAAAUUUUGUCAAAUCAUCUACUAUCUUCAAUUCUAGUUUUUCUCCUCACUCAUCAUGAAUCAAUCUUUAUUUUCGGGAAUCACAAUAAAUUAUAUUGAACUUAGUAAACAAACUUAUUUUUCAUAUACAAAAUUACAUACUUGCUUAUAUAUAAUGCAAACGAAUAACAUGCCAUGAUCUUUUAAAAAUAUUGUAAAACAAAUUCAUUAAAAUUUCUUUUGCCACAUUCAAACUUCACAUUUCCUUUCAAAUCACGUAUUUCAAUUAUCUCAAUUCAAUUACUACUCAAUAGAACUCUCACUUAACAUUCAUAAUUUUGGUCUUCAUGUAAACGUGCUUCACUCACAUAUCUCUUAAACAUUACAUCUACAGAGUCCACUAAGCGAGUAAUGAAUUCAAGAAACUAACCAAAACCAAAAAAUUUACUUUAUUUCUUCAAAAUCAAUUUGCUAAAAUUCACUUUCUUAUUUUCUAGAAAACAUGAUGCAUAUUCAUAUUUAUGCCAAUAAACUUUCACACAUACAUAUGUCCAUGCAUAAAUCAUACUUGACACAUAAUAACACAUCACAUAAAUAUAUGGGAAAAUCAUAUAAAUUAACAUCCGUUCAUAUUAAAAUAAGCUUUUCAAACACGUCAAAUAUAUACAUAUUUUUUAUUGUAAUUUACUUAUUUAGGACUUCCUCAAGUAACAAGAGUGUAUUGAUAUUAUCGGUCUAAAACUAAUAAGAAAACUCUCAUAAGAUAUCAUUAUGUCCUUAUUUAUAAGUUACUAAAAUAUCCCAAAAUUUUAAAUUACCAAAUUACCCUUGAAAAUCAUAAAUUACCAAAAUGCCCUCGUCGGUGAACGGUGACCGGAAUUCAAGCGGCAAUGAUCGAAAAAGUCAAAGCAGGAACUUCAGCUCGCUCUGAAUCCAACGGUGGAAGCGGUGUGCUCCGACGCGCAGCCAUGGUGCCGGAUCGAGCUUCGACAGCCGUGAAACUUCAACGGCUGAUCGGCGACAAAUCGGCUACUCUGUUUGAUGAUCAGAAAUUGAAGUAACUGCCAUAAAGAACAAAUCCCAGGUGACGACAUGACCGAAUCCAGUAAAAACUCGCCGAUUUGAGUCGUCGUCCUCCAUGACUUAACACGGCUUCGUGGGGUGGUCAUAGGCUGUUUUCCGGCAACAACGAUGAUGGGGAAAUGACCGGCGUCGUCUAAGAGUUCGGUUGAUACCCUCCAUCGGCGGAGAUGUGGCCGGAAUCGGAAGCAGCGAUUCAGGUUUAGUGAACGGGUUGACCCGACCCGUUUCUCUCUCGUCUGACCCGAUCGUGCACAUUCUAUCUCUCACUUAAUUCAGUUAAUCCGGUUAAUGACUGAAUAGCUUUAGGAGAAUUAAUUUUCAGAUUAAUGGCAAAAAUACUCUUAAUUUAUGAAGAAAUUAAGCGUUGUUAUGAAGGCAUUAAUUUUUUUACUGUGAAAUCUUCCUAAAAAAAAAUUAGUCUUUAGAAUUGUAAAUGUAAUGAAAAUUGGUCUUUUGGAUAACUAAUAUAGGGAAAGUUGGUUUUAGGAUAAUUAGAUUUACCAAAUUAGUCCUUAGAAUAGUGCUUCAAACGUGUCUUAAUGAAUUUUGCAAAAAUUGUUAUUUGAUUAUAGGCCAAAUAUAGGCCAUUUCUGAAUAUUUACUUAUAUUAAAAGUUUUCAUUAUUAUUUGAUUUAUCUUCUGUAUUCUCAGUUGAUGCUGCAUUACGAAAAUUACUUGAGAAAAAGAAGAAUCUGAUCAAAGAAACAGACCAAUAUGGGUGGACUCCAAUUCAUUACGCUGUGUAUUAUGGAAAUUACGGGACGGUAAAUUUGCUAUUAGAAACUGAUCAAUCUGCUUCGAAUAUUGCUGACAAAGAUCGAAAGAUGACAGCCCUUCAUUUGGCAGCGGGCCGAGGGUAUGUCGGAACAGUUAAAGCAAUUAUUUCCAAAAAUCUAGAAUGUUACGAGCUGGUCGAUAACAGGGGAUGGAAUUUUCUCCAUUAUGCUAUGGUUAGUUUUUAUGUUGAAGAAUUAGGAAAUCUUCUUGAAAAUAAUCCGUUAGUGAGGAGUCUUAUAAUUGAGGGGGAUGCCAAGGGAAACACUCCUCUCCAUGUGCUGGCUGCUGUCCGUCCAGAUGAAUUCGGUGUCCGUAUGAUUAGGAAGAUGCAAGCCAACUUUGACGCUGUCAACAAACAAAAUGUUAGUGUUACAAACAUUUUACUUAAUGGCUAUCCUGAGCUCAAGGUAAUUAUUUUAUUUGUUCUUUCAACUAAAUUAUUAAAUUUUUUUUCUUAUGCAAUUAAUUAAUAUUCAAAUGUAAAUUAAUUACAGGAAGAAAUCCAAAAAUUAUCCAAAGAUGUUGGCAGAGGACAAUAUUCAGAUGGUGUUAUAAGGGGACCAAAAUACCUUGUAGGGCAAAAUGAUGAUACCAAAGAUGAUUACAAGGAUACGAGAGCAUCACAUUUGGUAGUGGCUGCACUCAUAGCAACAGUAGCCUUCGCAGCAGGUUUCACCAUUCCAGGCGGUUAUAGAAGUGAAAAUGGAACUGCAAUCCUGAGGAGAAAUACAGCUUUUCAAGCAUUUAUAGUAGCAGAUUCCAUUGCCAUGGUCUUUUCUCUUUCUGCCGUCUUUACUCACUUCUUGAUGGCUCUUAAAAUUGAAGCAACUAAAGAUUUCGAUGAGGCUCUGUUUGCUGCUUCCAUUUGGUUCACCUUAUUUUCCAUGGGAGCAAUGGUGAUUGCAUUCGUUACGGGAACGUAUGCAAUGUUAGUACCUUCUUUAGGCCUUGCUAUUAUCACUUGUUUAAUUGGCUUGAGCUUUUUCUUCCUUGCGUUUUGGCUCAUCAAAUUGUCUAUUUUUUAAGUAGGACAAAAGUAAUUGAUUGUAGUAAGUCACCAUCUUUGUUUAUCAAUAAAAUGAUUGAUUUUCAGUUUAACAUAAACAUUAAUUAAUUUACUCAAUCUUUGCUAAUAAUGAAUAAUUACUUUAAUUGUACAUUGAUCACUGAUGUUUUAAUGAAAAUCAAAUUUGAGAUCCAGGCCGGUCUACUUUAUUGUUAAUGAUUAGAUUGAAUUGGUGAGAGGAAGUCAAAAUCAAAUUUAAUAUUUCAAAUUGUUUGUACUUUCUUAUGUUGAUGGAAUAAAAUCUUGAUUACUUUGUCAAAAAAAAUUGAAAAAAUUUAUCUCUUUGUAUAAUGCGUCAUUAGAAAUCUUCAAUUAGACAUGAGUAAAGAAAAUCCAUGAUGCAUGUUUAAGAGUAUAUAUUUGUUUUUUUAUAGGUUAAUAUAUUGCCAUCGGAAUUUUAUUAAUAUUUAUAAUAAAAAAUCUAUCGAAAUUAUUUUUAAUAAGUCUAGUUCUACCCUCACAUAAUAUCAAAGGGAUAUUUGCUCUACUAAUAUUAAUAGAGGAAAAAUCUACUCCUAUAUAAUUUAAUUCGAAGGAAACCGAGUCCAAUAAUAGUUAAGACUCAAAGGUUGUACUAAUAGGCUCAUGAUUACUUAUAUAAGUAAAUAAAAUUUUACCAUUCAACAGAAAUAAUGACACAUCACUUUAAAGUUAAAUCCUAGGACAUGUCUAUGGUACAGAUUCUGUAACAAACAUCUCCCGUCAUCCCACCAUCCGAUGUUCUAUUGUUUAGUUUCUCACUCCACAUCCAACUACAUCCAACGGCUGAUGCUGCAGUCUGUAGCUUACAGAUUCUGUCCUAAAUCCUAUAUCACCAAAUGAGUUGAAUCAAGACCGAGAAAGACGGGGGGACGUUACUUUGAAGGAAUUAUUGCAACGAUUGAAAACUAAUAAAUGAAAUGAUUGAGGCUUCGGAAGCUCAGGCACAUGAUGGGCCAGGUUCUGUUCAGCCCGUCCAUACUUGGAAGGGCUUUUAUGAGAUUAGGCUGGAGCCUGGACUUGUCCAACUUCAGCCCAUUUUCCAUUCCCUUUUGGUCCCACCACUGAACAGAAAGGAAUCCCAACUCCGAAUUAGCCUAAUCAUCUGCUAUCUGCUGAAUUCCAUGGAAAUAUGUGUGAACCAAAAACAAAAUCGACUUUGGAUUCCUAAAGAUUGCAGCAAAACACGCACGUGAGCCGAUCCAUGGCCCAAAAGGCGAUUUUUGGACGAUGAUAAAGCGGGCAAGGCAAAAUGCCAAUUCUUAUCAGUAGAAUUGAGGUAAAGUCUCUCUAUGUCUCGACCUUGGUCGUGAGAUUUGAUCAAUUAAAAUUAUAAUUUAGGUGACAUUUUGAGAUAAUAUUACAACAGUUAUUUUUAAUUGAAAUUAAUUAUUCUCAAAAACUACCAAAUAUAUGCUUACAAAUUCAAUAUUCACAAAUUCAAAUGAAUUAGGUUGUAUGAUAUAUAUCACAAACAAAUCAUUUCUAUAAACCAUUUAAUCUAUCACAUAUCCUGUCAAUUGCACUUGAUUUGGUUUGCCUUUGCCAUCUGCUUAUACAUACUAAUUUUAAUAGGAUAAUCGAUCACUAAAUCCUCAAUGUUUAUUUAAUUAAACUACCUCAAAGACUUAGCUGAGUAAUUUUUAAAUAAUUUUACUUUAUUAAUUACCCAAAUUCAAAUCCAAUAGGAGGUUGAGGAAGAAAAAAUUGAAUUGGGCUAGCUGAGGUAGAUUCUUUUUAAGAAGCUCUAAUUAGAAAAAAAAAUUUAAUAUAUUUACGUAGAUUGCAGCUAGUUUUGUCGGUAAAUUCUUUUUGAAAUAUCUUUAAUAAAUUUCAACAAGGUAUUCAAUAUGUGAGAGGUUUGAGAUGAAUUAGAUUGAAACUAAAAAACAGAGUCUCUUUCACAAUAUAUUAAUAGUGCGUUUAUUAACUAUGAAUCCUAAUAGGCAAGGAUCAUAAUGGAUUGGAAUCAAAAUGUAGAAAAAUAAAUUGUCUACUUCAACUACAAGAAUCGAGAUCGAAAACAAUAGUAUUUCAAAUUUGAUGUGUUUAUUUUGUCUUCAAAUUAGAAUAAAUGAUUGUAAGUUACCAAAAUAGAGUUAAAAAAAUUAAUUUUCAAUAAAGAUAAAUAAUUUUACUCUUUAUUCUCAUUUCUCCAUUCUUAUUCCCGUCUCUUCUAUCUAAAUGAAAUUCCUACUCAUUCCCAAAUUUAUGAGAUUCACUCAAAUUUUAUUUAAUUUCUUUGUAUUUUUAACAAAUAAAUAUUAUUAGUAAUUCUCAUUCCUCAUUUUUUUUUCUAAAUCCUAAAAAUAAACACAUUAAUGACAUUCAUUGCAUCGAAAAAAUCAUGUGGCUAUCCUAAAAUUGAUCUAAGAACCCACAUUGAGAAUUUGUUUCCUUCUAACUUUAUUUUGAUUUUCAAAAGACACGCCUUCACUCCCACAUUCAACCAAUGGCAAGUGGAUAGUUGCUGGUUGUGAGGAAGCCACUUUGGAUUUGGUGAUAGUCACCCUUAUUAGUUAUGACCACCAAAAUGGAAAGUGGCUUAAAAAGCAAAUUACUCUUUCUUUUAAAAAAAAAAAACCAAAGUUGAUUAGUGUGAGUGGUUUGGCACUCUCACUCCUUAAGAGAGGUUGGGGUUCAAGCCUUGCUCUCGUAUGUAGUCACCACUUUGGCUAGCACUUUACCUCUUACGGGCCGAUCCGGUGCGAGCGGGGAUUAGUCUGAGUUGUGGUACGAGCUUAAAGGUGUUUCCCACAGUUGGAGCCCACUCAGGACCACCUCGUGGUUCAGACAAAAAAAAAAAGAAUUUUGACCGUAAACUCUCUUGUAUCUACUCAUUGUGAGUUAGAUUCUCUCAUUAUUAGAAAUGUCACCUGUAAUUGUAAGUUGUAUCAGGGGAGCCAAUCUCCCUAGCAAAUAACCAAAAUGCACAAUAAAAGAAAAGAAAGACAUGUAACUGUAAGUCGCAUCAGGGGGCCUAUCUCCCUAAAAAAUAACCAAAACCCACAAUAAAAGAAAAGAGAUAGAGAGGGGGAUUCGUGAAAUACUGAAAAUUACGGAGAUAAUAAAUUUUAAUUAAUAUAUGUACCACAACAGCUAUAAACAAUAACAGAUAAAUUAAGAAUUUUUAUUAGAUAAUAUUUUUUUAUCAUUCUAAUUUUGACUAAUAGACGAAUUUAGUGAUUUUAAUAAAUUAAUGAGAUAUUUAAAAAAAAAACCAUUAUACAACUUUGUAUUCUCAUUCAUAUUUUAAAUGAACAAUUUAUUGAAAUUAUAAAUAUAAUUAUUAUUAAUAAAAUAUCACUCCAUUGUUAGUCUACUGAUCUUUUGUUCAUCAGAAAAUUCCAAAGGAGUGGUUGUAAAUCCCCAUCUUCAAAAGGGGAAAAAAAAAGGUCCAAAGCAAAAUUAUACUACUCGUACGUCCCAUUCAUAGAAUUAUUGCUUCUCUUUUUCGUCACUUCAAAAUUAAGCGUACUGUGCAUCCGAGAUACUAUUCACCCUUGCCUAAUGGAUCAACUUCGCCAACAUGAAUUCUGUUUCCAUUGAGACUGAGGAAGCUUCAUUAUUGGACAACAAUGGCGAGAUCAGUCAGUCGCAAAUAGACCCAAAUUUGUUCGAAGCCACAGCUGCGGGCAAUUCGGAGCCCUUCAAAGAUAUGGCAAGAGAGGUAAUUAAGAGCCUAUUAACAGCAAGACCAAGAACACAAUCCGGCAUAUCAACAUCAAAUUGCAGAAGACAGAAAAUGUGUCAACCAAGUUUGUAGGAGAAAUACUUGAGAUAUGCCCAUCGCUACUACUGCAAGUUAAUGCCAAAGGCGAUUCUCGAUCACUUCUCAAUGCGACAAAAUUCGGCCAUUGUGAUAUAGCGAGUGUUCUUAUUGAAAGAGCAAAAUUAGUUGAGCAUGAAGAUGAAGAGCUCGAGAGCGGGGUAGGAGCCUCCAGGCAGACGAUUAGGAUGACGAAUCAAGUGAAGCAUACAGCUCUUCACGGGGCGGUAUUUCAUAUAACUGUCGAUGUGGUGAAAAUACUGACGAGAGAAGACCCUGAUUAUCCAUAUUCUGCAAAUAAUUACAGCAAAACGCCACUUUACAUGGCUGCUGAGUAUGAGCAAAGAUUGCUGACAAAGAUCGAAAGAUGAGAGCUCUUCAUUUGGCAGCGGGCCGAAGGGAUGCCAAAGUAGUUGAAGCAAUUAUUUCCAGAAAUCCAGAAUGUUAUGAACUGGUCGAUAACUGGGGAUGGAAUUUUCUUCAUUAUGCUGUAUUUAGUUUUGAAGUUGAAGAAUUAAGAAAUCUUGUAGAUAAUAUGUUAGCAAGUAGUCUUAUGAAUGAGGGGGAUGCCAAGGGGAAAUCUCCUGUCCAUUUUUUUGCUGCUGUCCGUCGAAAAUAAUUCUUUGACGAUUUAUCUGGAAGAGUAAAGCCAACUAUGAGGCCAUCAACAAGCAAAAUGUUAGCGUUGCAAAAUGUUGCACCAUGGCUAUCCUGAGCUCAAGGUAAUUAUUAUUAUUAUUUUUUUUGGUUUCAAAUUGUAUAUAUUGAUUUAUUAAUUAAUAUUCAAAUGUAAAUUACAGGAAGAAAUUCAAAAAUUAUGCAAAGAUGUUGGCAGAGGACAAUACUCAGAUGCUGUUGUAUUGAUAAGAGAACCACAUGUAUUUCAAGAGCCUGUGUUUCCUGAAGAUGAUUUCAAUGAUGCCAGAGCGUCACAUCUGGCAGUGGCUGCACUCAUAGCAAUGGUAGCCUUCGCAGCAGCUUUCACUAUUCCUGGUGGUUACAAAAGCGAAAAUGGCACUGCAAUCCUGAGGAGAAAUACAGCUUUUCAAGCAUUUAUGGUAACAGAUACCAUUGCCAUGAUCCUUUCUCUUUCUGCCGUCUUUUCUCUCUUCUGGUUGUCUCGUAUAACUGAACUAACUAAAGAUUUCGAUGAGGUUCUGUUCAGCGUUUCCGUUUGGUUCGCCUUAUUGUCCAUGGCAGCAAUGGUGAUUGCAUUUGUUACGGGCACAUAUGCGAUGUUGGCACCUUCUCUAGCCCUUGCCAUUAUUACUUGUUUAAUUGGCUUAAACUAUUUCGUCCUUGCGUUUUUGGUCAUCAAAGAUAUUUCAGUCAAAAAUCAUGGGUAGGAAACUGUUGCUGAAAGAAGAUUUACACCGUCUUUUUAGUAAGGUUUGAAGUCGGGACCUAAGUUUUAGGGAGGCUACUCCUCAUCGGAUGUUGCUUUGGGAAUUUAUUGCAAAUAUGCAACCAUCAGAACUAAUAAACUUAUUAAUGUUAGCACCUUCCUUAGGCCUUCCCAUUAUCACUUGUUUAAAUGUGUUGAGAUUAUUCUUCCUUGUGUUUUGCUUUAUCAGAAGAUAUAUCUGUAAGAAAUCGCUAAAAAGAAAAUUGCUUCUUUUCCAUAAAAUAAAGAUAUUAUUCAUAAACGGUUUCUUACUUACCGCUUUUUUUUUUUUGGUUAGCCUCCUUAAAGGCAAUCUUUAUGUCUUGAAAUUUAUAUAAAUUUAAGCAAAUCAUAAUUAAAAAAGAGAGUUAGUAAUGAAUAAAUUUGCAAUUUUGGAAGAAAUUAAAUAUAAAAAUUUCAUUGUUAAAUGCAUUCCGUGGAUUCUUCGUUUUCUUGGAUGGGAAUCGAGGAUAGUAGAAUUUUUUAAAUAUUCUUAGGCUAAAGCCAUAUUGAUAAUAUUUCAUUUUUUUUGUUUUAAGAUUUCUUUAGUAUACACCAAUUUAAAAUUAAAAUUAAAAAAAAUUUCAACUUGGCACUAGCUAAUUAAAAAAAAAUUAUGUUUAUUAGUAUAAAUUUUAUCCCAAAUUAUCAGAUUAUGAUUUCAACCUAGGAUGGCUCUUAAAACUUGCUUGAGCUUCCUUUUUAUUGGAUGAACUCCCGAUGUGGACUUCUCAUGUUGUGCCUUUCAUUUUCAAGUUUAAUUUUGCUUAGUUGAAAUUUCUUCCAAGAGAUGUCCACUUAUUUAGUGAUGAAAAUGAUCUUGAUAAGAUAAUGCCCUACAAACAUAAGAAAAACAGUCAAAGGGCCAGCUUUAACGACGUAGACACUCUAGCGAUCAAGUUAAUCAUCGAAUUUUUAAAAAUCUAAAGUUCAGAGUGUGAAAAUUUAGAGAAAUAAAGCCUAGAGAGAGAAAGUCUUCUCUAGCCACUCUCCCCCAAGAUCUUUUUGUUUAAGGUCACUUUCUUCCAAGCAGUCCCUAUACCUCUCUAGAGGAGCCAGAAUCAGCUUCAUCGUCACUAGGAUCGCUUGAGUUCUCCCUUUCCUCAACUUGAGCUUGGAACUAAUAAAAAAUUCUAUCAAAGUUCGAAGCUAAUGAAUCCACUUUACUUUGGAUCAAGCUUGCCCUUGUCGUUAGGCAUCAUGAUGUGGAUUAGGAAAAGGAUGAAUGAGUACCAUGGCUUCAAAUGAUGAAUCCAUCAGUGGUCUUCUUCGUUGAAAAUGGGCUUCCUUAACCCUAGAACUCAAAGAUUCAAACACAGGGUCAUGAUACUCCUAGCUCAAAUCCAUGCUCACAGUUCCAAGACUUUUAGUCGGGAGUUCUCGUAGACAACGCCAAUUUUGUUGGUAAAAAUUUUGUCCCAAUUUAUAAAAUGGUAAUUUCAUGAGCUUCCUCUUUACUGGAUCAAACUAUGUUGAACUCUCAAUGUGGGCUUCUUAUGUUGUGCCUUUCAUUUUCAAGUUCAAUUGUACUCAUUUGAAUUUUCUCUUCAGAGUUAUCUGCUUCCUUAUGUGACGAGGAUGACCUUAAUUAGAUAAUGCUCUAUAAAUAUAAGUAAAAUAGUCAAAGGCUUGCCUCACCAGCGUAAACCCUUUGAUGAUCAAGUCGAUCACCAAAUUUUUAGAGAGAAAAGUUUAGAGUGAGAAAAUUUGGAGAUACAAAGCCUAGAUAGAGAGAGUCAUUAUUUAUCCUCUUGAGUGAUUUUUGGCUUAUCUUUGAAAAAAGAUGGAAACUUAUAUUUGUAAAUGACUUUGAUUUGACUUGAGUCCUUAUUGUAUUGACCACAAAUGUCAUUGUCUUUAUAACACCGGGCAACACUUGUCUUCUUGCGACCAUGCCAAGUAACACUUGGACAUACAACUUUGUCCUCAUAUCAAAAGAGGAAGUUUCUCCAUCCUUUUUGUUUGGUAGAGGAUAUAGUAUCAUUAUGCUUAGUUUUCAAAGGAAGAGAUGUUUUUAUCAUAGGUUUUCAACCUAGAAGUUUGUCUAAGGAGGUUUAUCUUUAGGAAAUUUGUCCUAAGAGGUUUUUUUCUAGAUAAAUUGUCCUAUGAUCAUGGGAUCUUAGGAACCUAAGAGUUUAUUCUAGGUAGCAUGUCUCCUAAAACCUAUUAGACUUAUCUUAAGAGGUUUUUCCCAUAAUCUAGGAAUCUAAAAGGUUUAUUUUGUUUCCUCUUAAUUAGUUGGUAAAACUAUAAAUGAAAGAGCGAGACAGAGAACAUUGAAGCAAAACCAUCCAUCCAAUUACACCAACAGAACAAGAACCUUUCAUUGUUAAAAUGUGAGUUGCUAGUGUUAUAUAUAUAUAUAUAUAUAUAUAUUAUAUCCUUCACUUUUAAUUCAUUCAACGUAUAAGAAUAUAAUAGUGAGUCUAUCACGAACAAUUAUAUAUAUAUAUAUAUAUAUAUAUAUAUAUAUAUAUAUAUAUAUAUUAUAUUAUAUCCUUCACUUUUAAUUCAUUCAACGUAUAAGAAUAUAAUAGUGAGUCUAUCACGAACAAUUACACAAAUAUUUGGAUUAAUGUACAGAUAACCCAUUGCAGUCAACAGAUAAACAAUCAUUGAUUUCUUAUUCUGAUGUGUUGUGAAUAGUAUCAGUAUACUAAAGAAUCAUGUAAUGAUACAGUCUUUUAAUGUCGUACACGAUCAAUUCAAACGUCACCAGGAAAAUUUUAUUCUUGCUAGUUAAAUUAUAAAUUUGCUUCCAUAAGACUAAUUAAAUACAUUAAAUUUAGGUUCAAAAAACAACCAGCAAUGUAACAGAUCAACGAUAGAAAAUCAUUUACGGUCUCUUAUUUGCCAAAUCUGAUCCUUGUAGACAUAAAAUCUGAAAGACAACCAACACAGCAACACAAACAAAGCCAAAUGAACACAAGCCACCACAGAGGGUGGUGGGAACACAGUCGCCAUAUCCGUGGAACAAAAAAUCCACAGACCUAGAUCUAUGGAUAUAUUGAAUUAUACCACUAAGUCAUUUUACAUAAUUAUACUCAAAAGGUAAAAAUAUUCUCCACUUUAUUGUCAAUUUUCAUAACAAAGUUGAAUAAUAAAUCGAAAACUUAUGAAUCAAUAUUAAGUGUAAAAUAAAAAUAAAAUAUAUAAAUAAAAUAUAGGACUUGUAAAUAGAAGGUAAAACAUGUAAAUUAAUAUAAGAAUUAUUGAAAAAAAAUAAAAACUUAAAAAUGUAAGAUCAAACCUCAUUUUAAUAAUGAUUACCUUAUACAUUUGUUGAUUUAUUUUUUUUCUAAACUGAAUAAUGAUAGUUUUGGGUUUAUGUAAUAUAUAUGAUGAUAUAUGUAGAAAUUUUAUUAAGGAUAAAACUUAAUUUUAAAAUCGGAUUUUGAAAAACUCUUCUUUUCAUAUUUUUCAAAGUUGCUCGUAGGAUAAGGUGAUUUUUCAUCAUUUUAAAUAUUCUUGAUAGCAACCACAAAUGAUCUUUAAAUACAAGUAAGAAGCAAAGUUUAAAAUUACAUAAAAUAUAUACAAAACAUAAAAUUAGAUACAAUUUUAUUGAUAAUAUAUAUAUAUAAGAAUAUCUUUUUAUUUUGUUUUGACUUAAUGCAUUCAAGAAAAAUAAUUUGUUUAAUUAACCUCUGUAGUAAACAAUAGUAUGAUAAAAAAUGAAAAAAAAAUAAUGAAUGUCAUAGAAUGAAUAUAGAAUUUAUAGUUAAAUCAAUUCAAUAAAACUUAUUCCAAUUGUUUUCAAUACAAUUUUUUUUAAUUGAUGACUCACUUUGUUCUUUAUUUAAUUAAAUUAAAUAAAUAAGCUAAUUUUAUUUAAUGAAAGAUUAAUAUUGAUUUCAAAGUUUUAUGUUAUUUUAUAAGUGUUUGUUUUGUUUGUAAUUUGAAAACACUAAUUUACCACUCAUAUAUUAAUAUACUAAUUUUAUCUUUUAUUUAAUAAUUUUAUAUGUAAUUUACAAAACUUAUAUUUAUCAUGAUAGUAUAUUUUUUGGUUAUUGUAAACAAGUUUUUAUAAAAAUUAAAUAGGGGCAUUAUAGUAUUAACGUACUUUUUUAUAUUUUGAUGUUAUUUGGAGCAGACAAGCUACGUUACAGACUGUAUGUAACAGCUCAGUACAAAUUGAUCUUGUAUCAGCUAACUUUUCCUCUCUCCUGCAACGCGUGGAUGCACCCCAUUUGCUACGUUUCAGACUCUAUAAACAACAAAGUCAUUGACUUGCUGUUUUUCCAAGCAAUCACUCAGCAUCUUGCCACAUAUUUGAGUCAGAGCCCAAACGCCUGAUUUUCGUCCUUCAAUUGAAGGAUGAUUUUGUUUUGGAGCUCGGCGUGGCAAGAAUUCAUUAUCGGACCAUUAUUAACUAUCAUCAUUACAGAGCAGUACCUGAACCACGUGAUCUUCCACCGCAAUUUUUUUUAAUAAAAUAUAUAUUUAUUUUUUUUAAAAGACCAAUAACACCCCGACUGUCUCAUAUUACAUAAUUUUAGAGGCCAAAAUAUCCUAAAUAAAAAAAUAUUCUCAACUUUAUUAUCAAUCUUCAGGGAUCCUGCUAUGUUACCACCGCAGUAACAUACCGCACUUUUUUGUCCUUUUAGAUUAAUUACACUACAAUCCUUGUUUUAUGCUAAAAUUAGAAAAAAAACCGAUAAUCUUAAAUUUUGACUCAUUAGUCCUACUUGUUUUGAUUUUUUGAAACUUAAAUCAAAAUGUGAGGGUAUUUUUUAAUUAUUAAUUCACACACCCAUCAUCAAAGUUUUAAAAAGAAAAUUUACUCCAUACACCUACUUAAAUGUCAAAUAUAUCCUUGAUAAAACUAAUUUUAUAUUUUUACUAAAUUAAUUAAUUAAAAUGAUAUAAAAAAUGAUUGAAUUAUUUACAUGCCCACUAGUUUCAAUUCCAUAUCUCUAGCAAUUAGCAACUAAAUUUUAUCACUAACUCAAAAUUAUCGACCAUGAGAUGUGAAAAAAGGUUCUCAAAUAAAUGUGGAGUAUAAAAUGACUUUGCCUUCAAAUUCUUUUAAAAGAUUCUAAACUUAUUUAUCAAGCUCGUAGAUGUAAGAAUAAACGACGAGAAAGUUGCCACCCUCCCUCACACUUUUUGAUACCUUCUUAUUAAACAAUAAAAAAUUAUUAAUUGGUAAAUUAAUAUAUUUUUAUUGCAUAUUGAAAUUAUUUACUAUAUAUUGAAUAAGUAUUAUGAAAAAAAUAUUAACUACAAAUUAAGAACAAGAGAUCAAAUUCAUACUCAUAUUUAUCAUAAAAUAUUGUUUGUAAUUAAUACAUGGUUUUACUAUAUAUUAAACUAAUUAAUUAAUAAGAAAGAAUAUUAAUUUAAUUCAAAUAUAAGAAUAAAUUAAUUUAUUAGUGAAAUUAACUGGGUCAUUUGACACAAUAUAUUGUAUUGCAUUAGAUACAUUAUAUUACAGUGUGUGUUAUUAAUGUGUAUUAAAUUGUAAUAUUUAUAUCAUUAUUUAGAUUACUAUUAAUUAUAAUUUAAUAUUAUUCAAAUUUAUUAAUAUUUGAGUAUUUAUUAUUUUUAUAUUAAAUAUUUAAAAAUAUUUAAUUUUUAUAUACUAAUUAUUAUAAUAUAAUUAAAUAACGUAGUAUUAUAUUAUAUUAUAUUAUUAUUUUUAUAUAUUAUUUAAGUAUUUAUUGUUAGUUAUAUUAAAUUUUUAAAUAAUAAUCAAUUUUAUUUAUUAAUUAUUAUAAUAUAAUUAAAUAAUAUAAUAUUAUGUUAUAAUUUUUUAUAUAAUAUUUAAGUACUUAUUAUUAGUUAUAUUAGCUUAUUAAAUAAUAAUCAAUUUUUACUUAUUAAAUGUUAUAAUAUAAUUAAGUAAUACAUUAUUGAAUUAAAAUUAUAAUAUAAUUAAAAUGUUUUAAUAUUAUUGAAUAAUAAAUAGUAAAUUUAUGGACUUAUGUGUUAAUAUUUUAAACUUUGUUACUUUUGUAAUUUUGUAGCAAACAAUAGGGAGUAUAACGUUAAUAACCCAACAAAAACAUCUUAGCCAUUACCCUUGUUCUGAAUUAAAUCUAACGGUGGAUUAAGAAAAGACAAAAGAAUGUGGUAUGUUACGACUGUAGUAACAUAGCUGGACCCAAUCUUCAUAACAAAGUUGAAUAAUAAAUCAAGUGAUAUAAAAAAAUCGAGUAAAAUAAUAAUUCAAAAGUAUUAGCAUUUUAACUUAUAGGCUUGUAGUUCAAUAAUAUCUACAAGAGAAUAAGUUUGAGCCACGUAAAAUUUAUUAUAUUUAAAAAAUAGUAAAUUUUUCAAUUGUAUAUUUCUACAUACAGUAAAUAAUUUUUUUUUAAAAUUAAAUAUAGGCAUUUUAGCAUUAACUUAUUUUUAUAUUUUGAUGUUUUUUGGAGUUAUUGCAAUUGCGGCUUCGGGUGAUUCCUUUCAUUUGCUUGCUCUGUAGUAAUAGCUACUACCACACAGAAUGGAACUGCGAGAAAUAGAAGAACAGGAAAAUGAUGUCGUUUUACUGAAGAAGAAGAAGACGAAGAUGAAACUGAGAAAGAAGAGAAAUCGAGAGGAAAGAAAAGAACAACUCAAAGAAGAAGAAACUGAAGAAUUAUUGCAGGAUCCACUGGAGGCUUUUGGUGGAGACAAAAUGUUGAAGAUACUUCAAAACCUAAAGGCACGCAGCGUAGCACCGACUCUCCUUGUAUCCCGUGCUUGGAACGACGUUGCUUCAAGCGACACGCUUUGGACUCCCAAGGUUCAUUUCCUUUCAUAUUCUUUUUUUUCCCAAUCUUUUUGCAUGGUACCUGAAUUUAGGUUUGUUUACCUUUUUAAAAUUAAUUAAUUAAUUUAGUGCUUUCUUCGGAGAACAUGAGAAUUGGGUUUUUUUUUAGUUUCACAAUUGGGUUUUUGUUUUAAGUAUUGAUGCUGAAAUCUGCUCGCCCUAUACCCGAUCAGAUUUUUUCCACCAACACUUAUAUACUUAAUAGGAACGAUGUCACCUUCUCCUUGCCUUAAAGAUCACUUACGUCACUGGAUUGGAAUCACCUUUUUUUUUUUAUCUUGCCCAGCCUGCGUUCACAAAAACUGGAUCAAAGACGCCGGUGGUUUUGUCGGCGUAAACUCUCUGAUGCCUAAGUUAGCACAAGGUGUUUACGGGAAAACGCUUCAAUUUAGAUUUUGGAAUGACUUACGAUUCACUCUGAGCUUAUGCUGAAAAAUAGUCUAAUUUUAAUUUGACAGAGUUUUCCCCCCUUUCUCAAUUUUUUUAUCCCCUUCUUUAUUGAUUUCUUCCUCUUUUAUAGCUGCUGUCCCACGUUUCUGUUCACCUUUCAUCCCCCCUUUCUCGGGUAGUGGCAGCCCCUCAUGGGACUCUAACUGCUACAUUGUGGGCAAGUGGGACACCGUGUCUCCCUCAACGGUUCUGGGAGAAGCGCAACUGUCGUGAUUUUGUGAGAUCGUGUUCCCGCUCUUUGGGGAAUGGAUAUCUGCUCGGUAUAUGUCUCUAGAAGGCCCAUGUUUGUAGAAGGUUCAUUAUCAGCGUUCUGCUCGUACCAUUCGGCUGAGGUGAUCCACCCCGGGGUGGGGAUGAUGGCAUGGCUGAGCUGGUGCUCUUAUGUACUUAACAUCAGUCCCCUAGUUUCUGGUCUUGUGAGUGAAUUGAGUUGAGAGUAGAAAUUGAUAAUCGAAUCUUACCGAUCCUGGGAACUACCCAUCUGGUCCUUGCGUUAUUGUGGUGGAUCUGAGGUUCCAUCUCUCGUCUAAGGAGAUUUUGACUCGAGUAUGGGCCUUCAAGAAUAUGUCUAGUAUAUACUUGGGCUUACGUCUUGUCAGGCCCCUUAUAACGGUUAGUGACGUGGCGCUUCAUGACUCUUCGUAUUUGAAAUUUGAAACGACGAGCUAUCUAUCCUCGAUGUACGGUGAGUGAGCUGGCAUCCCCAUCACUUAAAUGCUUCUAUUUCCCCCUUUUCGUUUCAAAUCCCUAGAUAGAAAUCAUCAUCGUUUUGUUGUUCGUCUCUCCGCCGUAAGCCAACUCCUUCUUUUUUUGUCAUGGCAGCGCUAUCCGUGCCAACCUAUUCUAGGUAUAGCCUUUAACCCCCUCUCUGGUUGUUGUUGAUUGGGUUUUGUAUUGUGGGUUCUGUAUUUAUCCCUUUUUGUACCCAUACAUUUGAAUAUUUUGUGCUUUCCCUUUUUAAACUUCAACAUGUCAAAUCGGAAGGGAAAAAUAAUUGUAGAUGAGAGUGAUGAAGAGAUAGAGGAUUCCUAUCCCCAUCUAUUUGGACCCAGUGAUCCUCUAUCCUCUUCUCGCAAUGUAGGUCCCUCCUAUUAUAGGGAUACCCCUGAAUACCCUCGUCCUAUGGCCACUUCUCCUUCCCCUGAAUUAGAGCUUGUAGGAAACCAAGGUGGACCUGCAUCGGGCUCUGAUGAGAACCACAGUUCUAAUGGGGCUGGGGUCCCUGAAGAAGUGGGUGACGGUGAGGGGAGCAGUUCUGAGCCGAGCAGACCCCCUAAGAGGAGAAAGCUUGACCAUAGGGUGGAGGCAGAUUCUUACCCUAUCGACUGUAUAGCUUGUGCCACCACCCCAACUGACCUGCUCAAGUUUAGAACCCUCUAUAACAUACCUGAAGAGGUUCUCCUUGUAAUCCCCGGGAAAGAUGACGUUCCUAGCCGACCUCCGAGGGGGUAUGUGACGAUGCAUCUGGAGAGCUUCAAAUUAGGAGCUCGGUUGCCCCUUCAGCGUUAUUUUGCCAAGAUAUUGGGUGGUAUGCACCUGGCUCCUAGUCAACUACACCCAAAUGGGUGGAGAGUUCUCUCAGCUAUGUAUGUGUUAUGGGAGAGGUGCGGAUCAGAAGAACCCUCCCUUGUUGAGGUAAAGCAUUUGUACCAGCUGCGGAGUAGCCCAAAGAAAGCAGGCUGGUACUACUUCAUGUCGAGCUCUGUAAAGAGGAAGCCGAUCACUAGAUUUCCUUCCUCAUGUAAAAAGUGGAAGAACAAAUUCUUUUUUACUAGAUGAAAUUAGUGUCCAGCAGCCAGCUCGCUUGGUGGUGAUAUUCACCUUCCAACGCACUUUGUCACCCCAGGUUGUUUAUUUUUUGUCUAUUUUCUUUCUCCAAUCGUUACUUAUUGGGUUCUUUAACCUUGUUUGCUCUUCCAGAAUCGUGGGAUUUGAUUAAAGAGCUUGACGAUAGACCCUUACUCCAGGUGGAAACUGCUCUGAUGAAUGCGUCUACCUGUCAAGACCUCCUGUCACCAACAAACCUGGUCGGAUCGCGUUUAGUGGAUGUAGCUGCCAGAAUGGAUAACAAGAUCCUCAGUGCUAUGACCAGGAAACGUGGUCUGGCUUCAAGCAGCUCCAGCAAUCCCCCUCCUCCUUCGAAGAAAACCAAUGCUGGUCCGCCCAAGGCUUCUGCUCCUGCUCUGCCCCCUCCUCCACCCCUGAAAAAUGGUGGAGAAAAGGUGAGUGACGAAUCCUGAGUUCAGCAUUCAUUCUGGAGACCGAUCCUCUCCUCUUCCACCUCGAGACCAGGGUGACGAUCUGACCCCAUAAUAGAGGGACUAUGGGAAGUCUGUGGGGCCGAAAAUAGUUAAGGACAUUGAGAGCAUGAAUCUCAAUGAAUUGGCUGGUUCUGUCCAGAGGGUCUCCUUCAAGCUGGCUACUCUGGUGUCUUGUUACAAGAACAGGGCCACACGCCAUGAGAGGAGGCUUCAAGCUGAUAACCAGAACUUGAAGAAAAAAGCUGAGUAUGCCGACCAAUCCAAAGAAAAGCUGCUUGAUCUGCACAAGCAGAUCAUGGAUCUGGAAGAAAAGGUGGCCAUAGCUGAAUCCAACUCUACCAAGCUUGAGGGCGAGUUGGGUGAUUUGAAAUCUGACCUUCCGGCUACUCAAAAUGAGCGAGAUACCUUGAAGACGGCCCUCGAGGGGGAAAUCAAGUCUCUGAAUGAACAGUUAGCCGACCAGAAAGGUAAAAUCUACUGAUGUGGACGAUCGGCUAGAUGCAGAGUAUAACUCUAGGCUCUCUUUUUGCUAUAAGUGCAUCAUGUCUGUGCUUAAGGAAGAAUAUCCAGAGCUUAACAUGAGCAAACUUGAAGCUGGAGUGCAGAAAUAUAUGGCCGAGGCCGACCAAUGGAAAAGGAGCAGGGUGAUUAGGAUCAGGUGGAGGCUCGCUUAGGUGAGGUGCAGGGGGAUGAAGCAGGGGAUCGUGCUCCUGAAGUAGGUCAAGGGUCAGUGCCUACUCCCCCCGAUGUUGCUGAUCCUCCUUUUCCUGAGAUUGCUGAUCCUUCGACUACGGAAGCGGCUGAACUUCAUAACCCUUAGGUUUAUCUUUGUAUAAAUUUCAGACUUUCAUCUGUUUUAUAAACAUUUGAGUGUAAAUUUUGGAUGCUUUCUGUUAGCUUUUUUAUUGUGGUUUUGCUUAUGGAUCGUUUCUGCAAAUUACCUUAAUAUAUUUAGUUGGUUUUGCAUGCUGGUCCUUUAAUCGACCGAGUAGGAAUGGGCACUUGUUUGCCAUAACCAAAUUUUUAGAUUUGCCUGCUGGUCCUUUAGGUAACCAAGCAGGAUCAGGCACUUGUUUUCCUUAAUAAAGUUAGUAGAUCUGCACGCUGGUCCUUUAGGCGACCGAGCAGGAUUAGGCACUUGCUUGCCUUUAUAGAACUUCGUGAAAUUGCCUGCUGCUCCUUAGGCGACCGAGCAGGAAUAGGCAUUUUCUUGCCUUAGUAAAAUUUUAUGAAAAUAUCUGCUGGUCCUUAGGCGACCGAGCAGGAAUAAGCACUUGCUUGCCUUAGUAAAAUUUCGUGAAAAUGUCUGCUGGUCCUUAGGCAACCGAGCAGGAAUAGGCACUUGUUUGCCUUAGUAAAAUUUCGUGAAAAUGCCUGCUGGUCCUUAGGCGACUGAGCGGGGAUAGGCACUUGCUUGCCUUAGUAAAAUUUCGUGAAAAUCUCUGCCGGUCCUUAGGCGACCGAGCGGGAAUAGGCACUUGCUUGCCUUAGUAAAAUUUCGUGAAAAUGCCUGCUGGUCCUUAGGCGACCGAGCAGGAAUAGGCACUUGCUUGCCUUAGUAAAAUUUCGUGAAAAUGUUUGUUGGUCCUUGGCGACUGAACAGGAAAAGGCACUUGCUUGCCUUAGUAAAAUUUAAUAAAUUUUGUUAGUAGGGGAAUUUCAUGCUGAAUUCAUCUUUAUUGAAACUUGCAUGGUUUACAGAAAUGUGAAAUAUGUGCCACAAGUCAUCAUGCAUUUAACAAAAAUAACUUAUCGACAUAAAUACUUGGUAAAGCCCUUGGUUUAUUGGAAGUACUUCUUCAAAUGUUCAAUGUUUCAUGACCUCUUCACAUCUCGUCCAUCUAGGUAAGCCAACUUGUAAGCUCCUGGUUCAGUCACUCGUACUACCCUGUAAGGGCCUUCCCAUUUCGGGCCGAGAGCGCCAUGGUUAAGGUCCUUAGUGUUUUGAUUCACCUUCCUAAGUACCCAAUCUCCUGCUCGGAGCUGCCUCACGCGUACGUUCUUGUUGUAAUAACGCAUGAUUCUUUGCUGACAUUGGGCCACUUUCUGCGGGGUCCCUUUCCUUUUCUCCUCUAGCAAGUCCAGGCUCAGACAGAUCUGCUCGUCGUUUUGCUCCUCGUUGAAGUAUUUUGUCCGAUGUGUCCCCACUCCAAUUUCUGUUGGGAUUACCGCCUCAUGACCAAAAGUUAAAGCAAACGGGAUUUCUUCCGUGGCAGUUUUGUGGGUUGUCUGGUAAGCCCAUAACACUCCUGGUAGCUCGUCGACCCAAGCUCCCUUCUUCUCUCUGAGCCUGGUUUUUAAGAGUUUCUUUAUUACUUUGUUGGCUGCUUCCACUUGUCCGUUUGCCUGGGGGUGUGCUGAGGUGCAGAACUUCAAGUCUACCCCUAAGUUUUGGCAAAAUUUUCUGAAGUUAUUGUUGUCAAACUGCCUCCCAUUGUCUGUAAUGAUGGCACAGGGGAUCCCGUAUCUACAGAUGAUAUUCUUCCAAAUAAAAUCCAUCGUCUUUCUCUCCGUGAUUUGACUGAGGACUCCUACUUCUACCCACUUGGUGAAAUAGUCUAUAACCACAAUUGCAUGUGUUGCCGCUCCUCGGCCCUUAGGUAAUGGGCCAAUCAGGUCAAUUCCCCACUGGGCAAAAGGCCAUGGGGAUGACAUAGUGGUUAGCUUUUUUGGGGGCUGAGCAGGAGCCUCCGAGAAGCUCUGGCAGAUUUUACAAUUCUUUGCCAUCCUUUUCGCAUCCUGGUGCAUGGUCGGCUAGAAGUNNNNNNNNNNNNNNNNNNNNNNNNNNNNNNNNNNNNNNNNNNNNNNNNNNNNNNNNNNNNNNNNNNNNNNNNNNNNNNNNNNNNNNNNNNNNNNNNNNNNUCCUGGAUGCUCACCCGCAUCAUUUCUGCUUCCUCUCCUAUGCUGGGCGAGGUCCUCACUUCCAGUGGAACUGACUUGGGUAACUUUGGGUCGGUAACUACGGCCAUUCUGGCCAACAUGUCUGCUCGGUAAUUCUCGUCCCGAGAUAUCUGUUUUAUCUCUACUUCUUGGAAAAGCCCGACCAUCUGCUUCGCCUUCUUCAAAUAAAGCCCCAUCUUUUCUUCCUUUGCUUGAAAUUAAUCACUGACCUGAUUACAUACUAAUUGGGAAUCUGCUCGAAUCACCACCUUUUCUGCUCGCAGUGCAUGCGCGAUCCCGAGCCCAAUGAUGAAGGCUUCGUACUCAAGUUGGUUGUUCGUGAGCUGAAAUUCAAACUUCACAGCAUAGGAUAUCUCGAUCCCUUCUGGACUUCGUAUUACAAUUCCUACUUCGGAUCCUUGUUCACUACGUGACCCAUCAACUAUUACCAUCCAUACUCCCUUUGGAUUCUCCUGUUCCACUAGUUGCUCCUCCUGAACUUCUUCCCCUGAUUCUACACUGUCAACCAUAAAAUCGGCCAGAGCUUGGGCUUUGAUUGCUCCUCGGGGCCUAUAGGAUAGGUCGAAUUCACUCAGCUCUACGGACUAUUUUACUAAUCGGCUAGAUGCAUCUGGUUUUUAGAGCACUUGUUGAAGAGGUUAGUUAGUCAUCACAACUAUCGGGUGUGCCUGAAAAUAUGGUCGGAGUUUGCGUGCUGUCGUUAUUAGAGCUAGUGCCCAUUUCUCCAUCAGUGGAUACCUUGUUUCCGCAUCUACCAGGGCCUUGCUAGUGUAGUAUACGGGGUGUUGCUUUUCUUCUUCUUCUCUGACUAAUACCGAGCUGGUAGCCCAUUUUGAGAUUGCUAAGUACAAAAACAGCUGACCACCUUCUCUCAGAGUUGAUAGUAAUGGGGUGCGGGCCAGAUAUUCCUUCAGCUGCUCGAAUGCCUUUUCACAUUCUUAUGUCCACUCCAUCUUUCUCCCUUUCUUUAUGGUUUGGAAGAAAGAGUGGCAAUUAUUUGUGGCCCGCGAGAUGAAUCGGUUCAAUGCUGCCAAUUUCCCUAUAAGGCUCUGCACUUCCUUGACUGUUCGUGGGGACCUCAUUUCUGUUAUCCCCCGUAUCUUUUUCGGGUUGGUCUCGAUCCCUCGAUGGCUCACUAAGAAUCCCAAAAAUUUACUCGAGCUGACCCCAAAUACACAUUUCUCCGGGUUCAGUUUAAUUUCAUACUUCCUCAGCAAUUCAAAGGUCUCUUCCAAGUGCUUCACAUGAUCCCUUGGUUCUUUAGACUUUGUGAUCAUAUCGUCCACAUAUACCUCCAUAGUGUGACCGAUUAAUGGCUUGAAGAUCUUGUUCACUAACAUUUGAUAGGUAGCUCCUGCAUUUUUUAGGCCAAAAUAUAUUACCCUGUAGCAAAACAAACCCAUGUUAGUUAUAAAGGUGAUGCUUUCCUCAUCCUACUCGUCCAUGGGUAUCUGAUUAUAUCCCGAAAAGGCAUCCAUGAAGCUGAGCAUACUGUGACCCGCUGUUAAGUCUACCAGUUGAUCUAUUUUUGGUAGGGGAAAACUGUCCUUCGGGCAUGCCUUAUUAAGGUCUGUGAAAUCUACACACAUUCUCUAUUUCCCAUUUGCCUUCUUUACUAGUACUACAUUGGAAAUCCACUCCGGGUACUUAGCCUCCCUUAUAAAUCCUACUUUCAACAGCUUUUCCACCUCGGCAUUUAUGGCCUUGUACCUUUCUUGGUUAAAGCACCUCCUUUUCUGCCUCACCGGCCUUACCCCUUUCUUGAUUGCCAACUUGUGGCAAGCUAUCCCGCGAUCAAUUCCUGGCAUAUCCUUAUGAGACCAGACGAAUAUAUCUGCAUGGGACUGUAGACACUUCACCAGCUUGCCUUUUAUUGUCUCGUUCAAUCCUGAUCCGACCCGAUCUUAACCACUCUGCUCGGGUUACCCUUGCUCAUAAAGACCUCCUCCAGUUUCUCAACAGGUUCCUGGCGACCCUUUUUAGAAUCUCCUCGGUUAUCUAAAGAGGUAACCUAUAGUGUCUCCUUGGCCGCUGUAGCAUAACAACUCCUCGCCAUUCUCUGGUCACCUUUUACUACGCCAACAACUCCGUUUACUCUGUACUUCAAAUGCUAGAUAAUGCGUGGAUAUAACAUAUUGGCUUAUCCUCAUGAAAGGUUGUCUCAGUAUCAUCUGGUAAAGGCUUCUUUCUUCUACCACGACAAAGUCUAACAUCACUGUUCUUUCAAACAGCUUCGACCCUACAGUAAUUGGGAGCUCGAUGAUCCUCAUGGGGGUUAACCAUCCUCCUCCAAACUCCUUCAAGGAUGUAUUUGUCCGCUCCAGUUUCAAGUCUGAGAUUCCCAUAUCAUUUAGGGCUGACUUAAACAAUAUAUCAACCGAGCUGCCCGUGUCCACCAGUAUUCGCCGUAAUUCUGUACUAGACACCAUUGCCUUAAUCACCAGUGCAUCCUCAUGAGGAUAUGAAAUACCCUCUUCGUCAUUAUCUGUCCACAUAAUGGGGACUUGUCUUACUUUCGCCCUCUUGGCUGCUGGCAAAUUGAAAAACACCUCUUUGUUGGUCAUGGCGUAUCUCUCAUAGUUCUUCCGUGCCCUGUUCGAAUCCCCAACCAAUGUUGGCCCUCCUACUAUCACACGGAUAGUUGGCUGUUCACGUUCUAGACUCCUCUCCACUCCUUCAUCCCGCGUAUACUGCAAUUCAAGGACGGGGGUCACUCCAUCUACAUAUUCAUCCAGGUACCGGUUCCUCACUAAAUCUUUCACCUGAAUCUUUAGGUCAUGACACUGGCUGAUAGUGUGACCAUGAGUGUCGUGGAAUUUGUAGAAUCUACUUUUGUCACGUCGGUGAGCAGGUUUCGUUAUAGGGGCUGGAGGAUACAGCAGCCUCGUCCCUCGAUCCUCUCGUACAACUCCUCCAUAGGAACUUUUAACGGGGUGUACUGCCUAUAUGCCAAGCUCUGGUCAAUCAACUGGACUGCUCGGCUAUCGUUGAUAUCGUCCCGAGCUGAUAUUGUAGGUAGCUGACCUGGUUGUCCAGCUCUAGAGUUGGCUGUAUGUAUUGCCCUUGGAGCGUUGUGAUAAGGAUGGGCAGCCAACUGUCGAAAUUCUUGUUGCCGCUCCGGGAAUGGGGGGGCGGAGGCUGAGCUCGGCUGUGUUGGAGCUGUUGCGGUCUCUGAGCCAUGAGGUAAUGGCGAGACCGAUCUGAUAUUGCCCUCAUCCCUGAGGAUUCUCUAGCUCGCUUUCCCGACCCGCUUCUGCUCGGGGUUCUCCUUUCCUUUCGUCUCAACUCCUCUAGCUGUUCACUUUUUAUCCUCGUCGGUUUUUCCUUUUCGAUUUCUAUCUCUCCUCGCCUGAUCAUACUCUCCGAAUAAUUCUGCACUAGGGGACUUCUCAAGUUAUACCACAAUUGGCCUAUCCUCACGCCCUCUUUUAACCCCCUCAAUGUAUGCGGGUAAUUGAAAGCUCCCAAAUCAAGCACGGCUUGGUGGUAUCGUUUUACAAAAUCGCGAAGGGAUUCAUGUUCCUCUUGCUUCAUCCCUAUUAGUUCCAUCAUAUCGUCCUCUGGGGCCACUGCUCCUCGGAACUGCUCAGCCAACUCUUGGCACAUCUGCUCGUAUACUUUUAUACUUCCUCGUGACAGCUUGCGGUACCAUUCUCGGGCUCGCCCCUCUAGUGUCAAUGGGAACACCCUGCAUCUCUGAGCUGGUGUUAGCCCCUGCACACCCGUCAUGUCGUUGAAACGUUCAAUAUUCACCAGCGGGUCACUUCGCCCGGAGUAUUUAAGGUCGGGGAAGCGGAAAUCUCUUGGGAUUACAGUACCCAUGAUCUCCGCUGACAACGGAGAUUCUUCAUCUAGCAUUAUCCUCUAGCCCUGAAUCUCGUCCAUCACCUGCACUAAUUUACGCACCUCACCCUCCAAUUUUACAAUACGGUCAGGAUCGCGUGCAGCUAUUUGAUCUCGCUCCUGCUCAGUAUUCUGCAACCACUGUCUGAGCUCUCUUUCAUCAAUAUUGGCUCCUCGGCCAUCAAUUUCUAGCACUCGUCUGGAGCGAGGUUGGUCCCUUCCUUCGUCUACGCACUCCCCUGGAAUCUGACAAGUACUUCUAUGGGGAUGUGUCCCAUAGGGUUGAUCUACCGGUGGAGGGAUUUCCUCGACUCUGCGCCUCCGGAGGCUAGGUUCUGUCACAACUUCAUCUCUUCCCACGGGGGUUUCAUAGUCCCUUCUCUGUUCAUCCCUCAGCUCAUGCAAUAUGGCCGUGAGAGUCUCCAUUUGUUUCUCCAUCUAUUCCAACCGAUCUUGCAUCAUCCUCUCUCGAGCUUCAUUCGCAAUCUCCCGGAGAGUGAUUGUCUCAAUAGUUUCAUUGUCCUCCCCUAAGGCACCAUUUCUUGAAACAUCCAUAACCAACUAUUCGUGCGCUUCCUCUGAUGCCUAUUUGUUUGGUGGUAGCUUUUAUCCAGAUCCCCACAGACGGCGCCAAAAUGUUGAUGCUGAAAUCUGCUCGCCCUAUACCCGAUCAGAUUUUUCCACCAACGCUUAUAUACUUAAUGGAAACGAUGUCACAUUCUCCUUGCCUUAAAGAUCGCUUACGUCACUGGAUUGGAAUCACCUUUUUUUUUUAUCUUGCCCAGCCUGUGUUCACCAAAAAUGGAUUAAAGAUGCCGGUGGUUUUGCCAGCGUAAACCCUCCGAUGCCUAAGUUAGCACAAGGUGUUUAUGGGAAAACACUUCAAUUUAGAUUUUGGAAUGGCUUACGAUUCACUCUAAGCUUAUGCAGAAAAAUAGUCUAAUUUUAAUUUGGCAGAGUUUCCCCCCUCUCUCAGUUUUUUUAUCCCCUUCUUCAUUGAUUUCUUCCUCUUUUAUAGCCGUUGUCCCACGUUUCUGUUCACCUUUCAUCCCCCCUUUCUCGGGUAGUGGCAGCCCCUCAUGGGACUCUAACUGCUACAUUGUGGGCAAGCGUAAGACACCGUAUCUCCCUCAACGGUUCUGGGAGAAGCGCAACUGUCGUGAUUUUGUGAGAUCGUGUUCCCGCUCUUUGGGGAAUGGAUAUCUGCUCGGUUUAUGUCUCUGGUCGGCCCAUGUUUGUAGAAGGUUCAUUAUCAGCGUUCUGCUCGUACCAUUCAGCUGAGGUGAUCCACCCCGGGGUGGGGAUGAUGGCAUGGCUGAGCUGGUGCUCUUAUUUACUUAACAUUAAGUAUUUUUGGUUGUUUGAAAUAAUCAUAUCAUGAAUACAAUUGAAUUUGAAUUUAAGCUUUUCAUGUCAUCAUCGAGUUUUAUGUUCCUAGUUUACAGGAAUUUGUAUUCAGUGCUGAGCUGAGGUUUUUGUUAAUCUUUCAGAAAGAUAAGAAUAUAAAAUUAAUUAAAUAUUCACCUUAAAUUAUUAUCCAUGUAUGUGUGGUAGAUGUUUACGAAGAGAUGAGCACAGUUAAGCUCAGUACUGGAUCUAAAUCCAGCUUACAGGAUUUCUUGCCUGCCAGGAGCAUUAUAUGAAUACUCGACUUAUUGUUUGACUCAAUUUACUACUCGACUUGGCUUUCUUGACCAACUUAAAUUCGUCUGAGUAUUCUCGAUUUAAGCUGAAUAUUUUUUGUCUCGUAUCUAUUUGUCUUUGCUCACCCCUUAAGGGUAUAUCUAUGUAAAGUGACUUAAUUGGGGUAUAUUGUUGGUAUAUUUUAUUUUUUAAAAUCCUGGGCCCUAGGAAGCCCUUUCUUAUCAUUGAAACUAGACCUUGGCUAAAUAAAUUAUUGGUUUAUUUAAAGGAUUGGGGUAUAUUUUUAUAUAAAACCAAACUGAAUUGUGAAUGCCACUGCACGUUUUUACUGCCUUAUAGCCUAAAUUGCUUAUUCCUUCUGAUUGCAUGAUUUGUGAAGAAUUUUUUUUUUUAACUUAACUUCAAUUAUUUUCUCUGUUUUAUUUGAAACCUAACCGAAAAGAAUAUCUACCUCUUUUUAUUAUUUUUUUCAGUUCUCCAGGUAACUUAAUCGGUCAUGCUUCUACUUUGAAGAGUAACCGAGUACGGAUAAUUUACUUGAGUUUCCAGCUGAUGGCAAUACUGAAUCCUUCAAGGAUAUGGCAAGAGAAAUAUUUGAGAGCUUAUUAACAGUACAGGCCAGGAACACGAUCCUGCAUAGCAACAUCAUAUGCCAAUGAACAGAAAAUGUGUCAAUCAAGUUCGUAGGGGAAAUACUUGAGAUAUGCCCAUCACUACAAACACAAGUUAAUGGCAAAGGUGAUACUCCACUUCACGUUGCGGCAAAAUUCGGCCAUUUUAAUAUAGCGAAUGUUUUUAUGAAAAGAGCAAAAUUAGCUCAACAUGAAGAUGAAGAGCUAGAGAGCGGGUUAGGAGCUGCCAGGCAGAUGAUUAGGAUGACGAAUGAAAAGAAGAAUACUGCACUGCAGUCUGCACGAGGCAGUGUUUCAUGGCAAAGUGGAUGUGUUGAAAAUACUGACGAGAUAAGAACCUGAUUAUCCAUAUUCUGCAAAUAAUUGCGGCAAAAUGCCACUCCACAUGGCUGCUGAUUAUGAGCGCUUUUCUCAUAAGAUGCUAGCCUUUUUAGAAAACUGCACAUCAAUGUCCCAUGAAGGCCCCUACGGAAGGACAGCUUUACGUGCUGCAGUAAUGCAGUUGGAUUUCCGUAAGUUUAAUUAUACCCUUUCAGUGCGAAUUUGAAUAUUCAGAUCUUUUCAUACAGGUUUUGUUCAUGCUCUUUCAUGCCCAGGGGUCUGACAGAAUGAUUCUCAAGUAAUUACAUUUAGUUGGUCACCAAAUUUAAAUCCUGAGAGGCUGGAUAAACAUUCAAUUUGAGUUAUAAUUUUAUUUAUCUUUUGGCUCAUUACACUCAGAAAUGGAUUAUCAUGCGAUGCAACAAUUAUUUGAAAAAAAGGAAGAGUCUGAUCAAAGAAACAGACCAUUAUAGGUGGACUCCAAUUCAUUACGCUGCAUAUCGAAAUCAAUAUCAAUAGAUACAUGUGCUAUUAGAAAUUGAUCAAACUGCUUCAAACAUUACUGAACAAAGAUCCAAAGAUGACAGCGCUUCAUUUGGCAAUGGGCCGAGGGCAUGGCAGAACAGUUGAAAGAAUUCUUUCCCUUGCACCAGAAUGUUAUGAACUGGUCGAUAACAGGGGAUGGAACUUUUUUCAUUAUGCAAUAGUCAUUUUUUUUUUUUUAAUGAUUUCAAAACUCUACUAAAAUAUCCGUUAGCGAGGAGUCUUAUAAACGAGGGGGAUGCCAAUGAGAACUCUAUAUGAUUAGGAAGACUCGAACUAACUAUCACACUGUCAAUAGGCAAAAUGUUAGUGUUAGACACAUUUUGAAAUAUGGCUAUCCUAUCCUAAGCUCAAGGUAAUUAAUUUGUUAAUUCUUUCAACUUAUAAAUCCAGCUUUCUUUUUCAUUACUUUAUUAUAAUUUUUUUUUAGUUUAUGCAAUUAAUUCAUAUUCAAAUUCAAUUUACAGGAGGAAGAAUUUGUCCAAAGAUGUUGGCAGAGGACAAUAUCAAGAUGGUGCUAUAUUCAUGACGACAGUGCUAAAUUGCUAAGACCAGAUCCAAAUGCAGUGGCACGUGGGGUAGUGGCUCGACCGGGUUAGCCCAAAAAAAAAUCAAUAUCCCUUAAAUUUUAUGGUAUUUUUAUUUUUAAAUCUUUUUCUUUCGUGUCCUUAAAUCAAUCUUUAUUAAAAUAACUUAAAUAUAUUUAUAGUUAAGUUAUUCCGGUUUGGAUCCUUUAAAAUUCAAUAUUAAAAUAGUAAUUUGUCUUUUUACCUACUUUCUUUUGAGCAAGUUUCUUGAUGUUGCAAUAUCUUUUGAAUUUUUUUUUUUUUGGUUACGUUCACACAGAUAAAUACAAUAAAUUCAUAAAUUCAUAAUCUAACCUUGCCUGGUCAAAAUUCCUAGGUUCGCCCCUAUCUAGAUGAAUUACAAAAAGAUUAUCUUGACGAUCCUAAAUAUGAUUACAAAGAUAUGACAGCGUCCGAUGUUGUAGUAUAGUGAAAAUUACCCUUUAGGACAAUGCUUUUUACCCGCCUUGAGGAAUUUUCUCUGAGUUCGUAUUUGUUGGUCCGAUAACAAAUUCUUCGUUGUAGGAAGCAACUAUUUGGUUUCCGGCUGCAGCCACAAGGUUAUGAUUGUAACUUUCUUUUAAAAAAUAACAAAGAAUUCUGUUGUCAAGCUAUUGUUCAUCACUGUUGAGUUUUUAUGGGUGUUGUUGUUCAGGCUAAGCUGGUCUUUCAAAAAAGUUAUUUUGUCUCAUAUUUCCAACGUAAAUGGCCCAACAAAUUUGUGCCUUUCUAUAUAUUUAUUAAUAUGAAUACGCUUCAUAAUUGUGAGACUUAUUUUUUUGUAUCAGUUGAUACGUUAAAAAAAUUAGGGAAAAGGACUAACACACCACCAAUGUUUAGGUAAAGGGACAAAAAUUUCUCAAACAUUUCGUAAAAGACAUUUACACCCUCAUUCACUAAUGGAAACAAUUACUUUUAAUGGAAAUAGAAAUUUUAAUAUAUAAUUACCAGUAUACCCUUCUAGCACAUAAAAAAAUUAUUAAUUGUCCAAUUUGUCUAUAUAUUAUUAAAAAAAUUACAAAUAUACUUUCAUUACCCAAUUCCUCUCUUCAAAUUUUUAUCAAAUUCUCUCUUCAAGACAAAUAAAUUUAAUCUAUUAUCAAUUUUUAUGUCUAUUGGAUAUGUUACUUAAUACAAUUAAGAUAAGAUUUUUGUAAUUAUUGUUGUAACCAACCUUUUUUUUAUUUUGUUGAUUAUACAAGUUUAAAUGAUUGACAUGUAGAGAAUUGUUAUUCUUAUGGCAUUAAUAACUAAUUUUAUUUAUUUUAUCAAUUCUUAUGUCUAUAGGAUACGUUAUUUAAUACAAUUAAGAUAAGAUUUUUGUAAUUAUUGUUGUAACCAGUUUUUUUUUAUUUUGUUGAUUAUACAAGUUUAAAUGAUUGACAUGUAGAGAAUUGUUAUUCGUAUGGCAUUAAUAACUAAUUUUAUUUAUUUAUAUUCUUGAGUAAUAGAUUAAAUUUAAUUGGUUUAAAGAGAGAAUUUGAUAAAAAUUUAAAUAGAGGAAUUGGGCAAUGGGGGUAUAUUUAUAAUUUUAUUAACAAUAUAUGGAUAAAUUGGACAAUUAACAAUUAUUUUUUUUAUGUGCUAGAAGGGUAUAACGGUAAUUAUAUAUUAAAAUUAUUAUUUCCGUUAAAAGUUAUUGUUUCUGUCAGUAAAUGAGGGUGUAAAUAUCUUUUUUCGAAAUGUUAGGAGGUUUUUGUCCCUUUGUCUAAACGUUGGGGGUGUGUUUGUCCUUUUCCCAAAAAAUUAACUUGAGAAAAAGAAGAUUUAACAUUUUUUUUCAGGUCAAGGCAGCUGCUUCUCGAAAAAAUACUGUCACUGAUUUCUUAGGCUUCUCCGAAGGCUCUUUUCCUUUUGUUUAUCCUGGAGCUCCAAUUUUCAAGGGUUGUAUUUUGUCCGUUGUCAGGCGAGUGGAGCUAGUUAAUACUCGACCCUAGGGAUUGAGUUAGUAAUUUUUUUCCCCAUUGAAAAAACUUCAUCGUUUUGCCUUUGUUUUUCUCAGCGGUCUGUCACCCCAUGAUUGAUUUAGCAUUUCUCUUGCCAAUUAAAAGAGUAAACAAACGUUAACUAAAAAAAUGUCGAGUGCAAAAAGUCAACAGAUAGAUGCACAAAAACUCUGUUCUCCUCCACAUAAAAGUGUAGCAUUUAGAUAAUAAAGUUACUGUACUCAAGUCAUUGUUCAACGCCAUUGUGUACAGUUGUUCUGGCUGAUUUAGGCUUUUAAUGAAACUAUAUUGACUGAUAUUUCUAACAAAUGGACCAUGAUUUCAAUGUUAAAAUGCUAAACCUUUUAAGGGUAUGGGAAGAGAUGUAACUUUGAACUCGAGGCCUCAGUGGACUUAAGAGUGAUUGUGUAAAUACAUUUUGUAUAAACUAAACAAUUGUAACACUUUGAAGUUGUCGGAUGGGAACUGCAUAAUAAGAUUGUUCCAUUGGAACCAUUGUGAUACUCGUGUAAAUCAAUUAAAGGUUCAUGGAAGAAUAACGACAUAUGUUAAACUAAGGUAAAGAAUCUCCAUAUACAUAAAUAACAGUUAAUUAAUUAAAAAAAGGUAAAGAAUCUCCAUAUAUAUAAAUAAUAGUUAAUUAAUUAAUAAAUCACUUAGGGUGUGUUUAGUACAUUGUAUUGUAUUAUGUUGUAUUUCAUUAUUUUAAUAUUGGUGUAUUAUAUUAUGUUGUAUUGUAUUAGUACCGUAUUAUAAUAAUGUUGUACAAUGUUUGGUGCCACAUUGUACUGUAU
rnacentral:lncRNA from 1 species